rnacentral:rRNA from 1 species
GAUGAACGCUGGCGGCAUGCCUAAUACAUGCAAGUCGAGCGAAGAGGGGGCGGGGGAGUAACACGUGGGUAACCUCCUAUAAGACUGGGGUAACUUCGGGAAACCGGAACUAAACCGGCUACUUAUAGAUGAAUCCGCGCUGCAUUAGCUAGUUGAUAAGGUAACGGCUUACCAAGGCAACGAUGCAUAGCCGACCUGAGAGGAGGAUCGGCCACACUGGAACUGAGACACGGUCCAGACUCCUACGGGAGGCAGCAGUAGGGAAUCUUCCGCAAUGGGCGAAAGCCUGAUGGAGCAACGCCGCGUGAGUGAUGAAGGUCUUCGGAUCGUAAAACUCUUUUAUUAGGGAAGCGGUACCUAAUCAGAAAGCCACGGCUAACUCCGUGCCAGCAGCCGCGGUAAUAC